CCGCACGGGUGAGUAACGCGUAUGCAACUUACCUAUCAGAGGGGGAUAACCCGGCGAAAGUCGGACUAAUACCGCAUGAAGCAGGGGCCCCGCAUGGGGAUAUUUGCUAAAGAUUCAUCGCUGAUAGAUAGGCAUGCGUUCCAUUAGGCAGUUGGCGGGGUAACGGCCCACCAAGCCGACGAUGGAUAGGGGUUCUGAGAGGAAGGUCCCCCACAUUGGUACUGAGACACGGACCAA
rnacentral:rRNA from 1 species